rnacentral:tRNA from 1 species
GGAGAGGUGGCUGAGUGGUCGAAAGCGCACGAUUGGAAAUCGUGUAUAUCCCGAAAGGGGUAUCGAGGGUUCGAAUCCCUCCCUCUCCACCA